UGCUGCGAAUGGGCUUCUCGUGCUUUACAUUGCUAUCAACUUGUUCAAGUUGUACUAUGGGGAUGACUGGGAAGGGCUUUUUGAGUCUAUUACUGGUUAUGGACUUGGGGGUUCUUCUAUGGCCUUGUUUGGUAGAGUUGGUGGAGGUAUCUACACCAAAGCUGCUGAUGUCGGGGCAGAUCUUGUUGGGAAGGUUGAAAGGAAUAUUCCUGAGGAUGACCCUAGAAACCCGGCUGUAAGUUUUUCUGUCCUUGCCUCUGUUGAACCUUUGUUAAUGUUUAUGUUUGUUCAGGAAUGCCAUUUAGUGUUAGUAAUUGGGCUUUUCCAUAUGUCAUUUCGGUACCCAUCUUAGCACAUAUUGCACUUUCCAUUUAUAUUUUCCAACAUAUUCUACAUUUUCUAGAAUUCGUUCGAUGUUGCUGUUGAGGUUGACAAACAUUUGUUAUCUUCCUAUAGGUCAUUGCUGACAAUGUUGGUGAUAAUGUUGGUGAUAUCGCUGGAAUGGGAUCAGAUCUUUUCGGCUCGUACGCUGAAUCUUCAUGUGCUGCCCUUGUUGUUGCCUCAAUUUCUUCCUUUGGGAUCAACCAUGAGUUCACUGCAAUGGUGUAUCCCUUACUUAUUAGCUCGAUGGGUAUCAUAGUUUGCUUGAUCACCACUCUUUUUGCCACUGACAUCUUCGAGAU
rnacentral:lncRNA from 1 species